UGUCAUUUGUUUUGAGCACUCAUUCUAGAGCUUCUAGUUUUCUCUCUAGGUAGAUACCAGUUGAGCCGAGGGUUCCACAGCGAUUUUGCACUUUGACUAUGUUCUUGUUUUUCAAGUUUAAUUAGAGGAAGGUCGUCGGUCCGGCCCACAGGGCUCUUUGGCUUCAAAUUUCAGUUUUUACCCUUGCUCGAAUUUCUAAAGUUUUAUAGUCUUGGUUUCUCUUUUUUCCCGAUCUUGUGUUGUUGGUGAAAAACCUUUGAUAUCUUUGAGAGGAUUUGGUUUGAGGAUUGAUUGGUGGUGAGUUGCACUCUUCGGACCACUGCAUACACCUAGUUGUUGCAGAUUUUGAUCACGAUUUUAAGAAAACUCAGUUUGAACUCGUUCUAGAAAACCCCAACAAAACCCAAUUUCUGACUGUAUUUUUAAAUAUGCGGGUGAUUCACAAGUCCAUUUGAGCUCAAAAUUUGGGGGGAUCUUGGAAACGUAUUUGCUCAGCCGUGUGUAAAAUUUCAUCUCAAUUGGAGUUUGUUUGGUUCAGUUUUGAAUUCAAGAACAGAAUUUCGUACUGCUGUAAACAACACUUGUUGACGAUAUUGUAUUGGACCGUUUUGGACUUUUUGGUGUCUGAUUUGCGAUCCGUUUGUUUUGCUGGUCUAAUGUGAGUAUUAGAAACGUUUUGUAAUCAUGAGAUCACUCGUUCGCUGAUGUGUUCAUGAUUUGAGUAUUUGCUUCAUCUUAAUUAAAAUGAAGUGUUCAUUUUCAGUGUUUGCAAGCAAAAUCUGAUUGGCUCCCAUUCACCCCGGGUCGCCUUACCGGUCCUACAGUAGCAUUCAAAGCGGGUCAAAGCCUAGGCAAGGGAGGCUGCCGAAACACAUGAGGCCGAAAUGGCCAAAUUAAAAUAAGAAAUGGUAAAUCUACGUGAGGAUUUGGAAGUGGAAAAGUCAAAAGAGAAAUCCUUUGUGAUGAAAACGAUAGGCUGCAAAAAUUUGUAGAGGUUUUAUGAAGCUCAUUGGAAAAUUGCGUCUCCACUGCAGCAUGAUGCUGUAAAAACUUAAAUAUAUUUUCUCUUCAAUCGGUGGACGCUCCAAUGAGGUUAAUUUCAUGCAGAGGGAUGCAGAUAGGGUGGUCGAGUGGAUCAAAUAAAGAAGAGAUCUAUGCAUUUGAUGAAGUCCUGUCUAGUAGAAGAGAUUAUUGCGCCUUCAUGGGUUUACGAAGCACGACUUCAAUGCUAGAAAAAGUUAGGUGCACACAUUUGAAGUAUGUUGGAAGCCUGAACUUCAGGCUGUCAAUAGAAAAUAUUAAAAAAAACUUUCGGCUAAUGUUUCCAACGUGGCCAAGAGAUUCUUCACACUUAUUUGGAGCAGAGGAGGAAAAGAAUUGGCUAGAGACGAGGAAAAGGAAAACACGAAGAAGGUUGUCAGUGUUGCCAAAAAACUCGUAGCAAUAACAGAAUCUCGGGACAAAGCCAAGGACCAAGGAAAUUGAAGAACAGGACACUGAUGUUGAAGACAAAGCUUUAGAACGUGCACUAGCUAUUUAUUGGGAAAGUGAAUAAGACAUUAGAUGUUGUCAUACAAAUUUGUACUAAAGUGGCUAAUGAGGUUAUGAAAGAAAACCUGUAGAAGCUUUUGUAAUAUAAACAUUGCGUCUGUAUAAUUGAUGCCUUGCCACUUGCUUUUGUCCUUC